GACGAACGCUGGCGGCGCGCUUAACACAUGCAAGUCGAACGGAAAGGCCUGCUUUCCCUUGUGGAUUGCGGGUACUCGAGUGGCGAACGGGUGAGUAACACGUGAGUGAUCUGCCCCCAACUUGGGUAUAAGCCUGGGAAACUGGGUCUAAUUCCCGAUAGGACUGCAGGGUGGUGCCUGUGGUGGAAAACGAUUUUCUAGUGGUUGGGGAUGAGCUCGCGGCCUAUCAGCUUGUUGGUGGGGUAAUGUCCUACCAAGGCGGCGACGGGUAGCCGGCCUGAGAGGGUGGACGGCCACAUUGGGACUGAGAUACGGCCCAGACUCCUACGGGAGGCAGCAGUGGGGAAUAUUGCACAAUGGGCGGAAGCCUGAUGCAGCGACGCCGCGUGGGGGAUGACGGCCUUCGGGUUGUAAACUCCUUUCGACCGCGAGGAAGCCACCUGGUUGGAAGGGUGGUGACGGUAGUGGUAGAAGAAGCACCGGCUAACUACGUG
rnacentral:rRNA from 1 species